rnacentral:lncRNA from 1 species
CCUAUACUCCUAUAGCAUUAGAGAACACAAAUCUAACACUAAAAAUACAAGAAAAAUGCAAAAUCAAAAACUCAAAAUUUGACCUAGGGUCAAAAACGGGUUUAGUAUAUUUUUUGGGGGAUUUUCGAUUUUGACACUUCUUUUUUGUCGGUAUUUUUAAUUUCUAUACUCUAAUAGUGUUAGGGAACAAGAUCUAACACUAGAAACACACAAAAAUCAAGUUUUUUGAA